rnacentral:misc_RNA from 1 species
CAUUCAGUAGCUCAGCUACUUGUUUACACCCUUGUCUUUUUGCGUACUUAUCGUUUCCUCGGCGGGCUUGCCUGCCGGUUGGACAACUUUAUAACCUUUUUAAAUCUUCAAUCAGCGUCUGAAUAAUAUACAAUAAUUA